UCCAUCCAAGAGAUACACAAGGGGAGAACCUAAAGUAUCUCUCAGAUGCAAUCCCUGACCAUAAGACCUGCGAUAAGAGCAAAGUAUCUCAAGGUUGCUUCUGCUGCCUGACUGUCGAAUGCAGUUGGCCGGCUUGCGAUUAUUCUCUUUAUCAGUGAGAGCGUUAUUCGACCGCAGAACCGCAAAACAAACUCAAAACCGAGAUAAUCGCCACAUAAAUUGCCAGCCCAAAUGAACAAUUGAACAGUUUCAGUCCGGAGCUCAAAUUGAAAAUAAGCCCGAAGCAGCUAAGCAGUUGCUAAAGUAUCUGGAAGUAAUAUUAACAACAAACACAACCAGCUGUUUGCAUUCGCCUGGGUAUUUAGUUUUGGAGCAGCAAUAUGAGAUUGGUGAUAUUGGAGACCAGCGAUUCGGUGGGCAAGUGGGCCGCCAAAUAUGUGAUGAAGAGGAUCAAUGACUUCCAACCGGGUCCGGAUAGAUACUUCGUGCUGGGGCUGCCAACAGGAUCCACACCACUGGGUAUGUACAGGGAGCUCAUUGAGUUUUACAAACAGGGAAAGGUGUCCUUCCAAUAUGUCAAGACAUUCAACAUGGACGAGUAUGUGGGCCUUCCUCGGGAUCACCAGGAGAGCUACCACUACUUUAUGUGGCACAACUUUUUCAAGCACAUCGACAUCGAACCCAAAAACGUCCACAUCCUAGACGGAAAUGCCGCGGAUCUGGUGGCCGAGUGCAAUAAGUUUGAGGAUCUGAUCCGAGAAGCAGGCGGCGUGGAGCUCUUUAUCGGUGGCAUCGGUCCUGAUGGCCACAUCGCCUUCAACGAGCCAGGAUCAUCGCUGGUCUCAAGGACCCGAGUGAAAACACUGGCACAGGACACGCUCGAGGCGAAUGCCCGCUUCUUCGACAAUGACAUGAGCAAGGUGCCCAAGCAGGCGCUGACUGUGGGCGUGGGCACUGUGAUGGACUCCAAGGAAGUAAUGAUCCUAAUCACCGGUGCCCACAAGGCCUUCGCCCUCUACAAGGCCAUCGAGGAGGGGGUGAACCACAUGUGGACUGUAAGUGCCUUCCAGCAGCACGCCAAUACCCUGAUGAUCUGCGACGAGGACGCCACUUUGGAGCUGCGCGUCAAGACUGUGAAGUACUUUAAGGUAUGCCCGCCAUCGCUUCAGGAUAUCUAAGUAUAUUAAACACUGGGUGCUUAAGUGGUUUUUAAAGGUUCUGGUACUCCAACAUAGUUCCCCAAAAUAGCUUCGUUUACACUUCAAUGGUUGUUGAAUAUUUUUAAGGUCUAACCGGUAGAGUUACUUGCUGACUUUUAACUUACAUGGGGCUUGAUGGUUUUUGGCUAGAAAAUAAGGCUUAGUUAAAAAGAACAGUCUGUUAAUGAUUGGCUGAUCGGCCACUCCCACAAUUUCGCAGGGCAUUCUAAGAGACCUAGACGAGGGCGCUCUUCAGGAGGGCUACACAAACUGAUUUUCGAAGCCUUAUGGAUGUCCACUCCAAGUUGAUAGAGCAACAAAAGACAACGUAACCCACAGUCCAUCAAGGAUCUAUCAUCUAAACUCGCCUAAUAAUUUCAUACCUGCUGCUUGAGUAAAAUUUUUACAAAUAAAAUCAAAACUUGUUUAAUGUUAGUUUAGUAUAAACUUUAUACGAAUUUUGGAAAAAAUUUAUUUGAAAAUAUAUAAUAAUGUUAUAAGAAUAAAUGGUGUGCCUUCACCUCAUAAUAUUUAAAAA